AAAUCCUCAAAACGUCAAGGAAAGUUUGUGAACACGCCGCUAUAAAGAAAAUACACAUUUUCUCACAGCGAUAUUUCCCAGGUAUGUACAGCAUAUUUGGCUUCUUCUUCUUCUUUUUCACAGCCUUAGUCCCAGACGGUCCUGGGGUCAGCUGGUUUGGUUGCUCUUCUCCACUUGUCUCUGUCGAGCACAUCUUCCUCACUCACUUCACACCCCUCCAUAUCUUCUCACACAAUCUGUCCAUCUCUUUCUAGGCCUGCCUCUUCCUCUGUUACCUUCCACCUCAAAUUCCAUUACCCUCUUUGUUACUUCCUCAACGUCCCUCCUCAUAUGUCCAUACCACCGUAACCUCGCCUCUCGCAUCUUCUCAACCAUAUCCACCACCCUACAUCGUCUACGGAUUUCUUCAUUUCUGAUCUUAUCCUUCAUUGAAAUCUGCAGUAUAUUUUGCUUAUUGUGCGAUAAAAUUACAACGUUACUGUGCUUGUCUCGUGUAGCCGUGUUGUUACCUAUAGAUGCAAAACGUUGUAUAAUAUUUGUAAAUUAUACAAUAUUGAAUUAUUAUAAUGGAAUUACAAGGGAGGUGUUCAGUAACGUGGCAGUGACUGCCGGCAUCCAUUCUUUUCCAUUAGAUGCACCGAAAACAACGACGACACAGACCGUCGAUUCGAUAGCGGUCAAACGACCAGCUACAGCGAUACACACCAACACCGAACCCGAACCGGCAAAAAAUAAAGUACCAUUUCGACGGCCAGCGAUCUCAGAGACGUCAAGCGAAACAGCGAACUCAAAACGUCACAAAUCAACAACCAAAGAAGCUGUAUCGACGAGCGGGGGAAAAAAUGUGGAAGAAACGCCAGGACCUAAGGUGCUGACCAAAUCCAAACGUGUCAAGCCUUUCGAGAGAAAUAAUAACGCAAUUAGAGACUUGGCGUUUGGUGAUGCGCUAGAUUCAGUGCAGUAUAUUGCACGGUUACUAUCAACAGUGAGCACUAAUGAGGUGGAUAAAAAGCGAGAUUUAGAGCAUCUAAGAGCGGCUUUAGAAAGUGUACAUUAUUUGUUUCCAAAACCGAUCCAGGCUUUCGCAGCUAACCUCUUAAGACAUAAUUUCUACAGAGGAUGCUGCUCUAAACUCAGGAUUUCAAAACCUGAUAAUGCUAUUUCAUGGUUCAUUGGAAGAUCCCCAGUGAUACAUGACUCUAAGCAUGCGGUCUAAAAACUGGAAUAAAAGACCGACCUCUUACUAACAUCAAGCGUUUGUAUGUUAAUAAAAUAAUUAAACUGGCAAA
rnacentral:lncRNA from 1 species